rnacentral:rRNA from 1 species
UACGAAGGGGGCUAGCGUUGCUCGGAAUCACUGGGCGUAAAGGGUGCGUAGGCGGGUCUUUAAGUUAGGGGUGAAAUCCUGGAGCUCAACUCCAGAACUGCCUUUGAUACUGAAGAUCUUGAGUCCGGGAGAGGUGAGUGGAACUGCGAGUGUAGAGGUGAAAUUCGUAGAUAUUCGCAAGAACACCAGUGGCGAAGGCGGCUCACUGGCCCGGUACUGACACUGAGGAGCGAAAGCCAGGGGAGCAAACGGG